GAUGAACGCUGGCGGCGUGCCUAAUACAUGCAGGUCGAGCGAACAGACGAGGAGCUUGCUCCUCUGACGUUAGCGGCGGACGGGUGAGUAACACGUGGAUAACCUACCUAUAAGACUGGGAUAACUUCGGGAAACCGGAGCUAAUACCGGAUAAUAUAUUGAACCGCAUGGUUCAAUAGUGAAAGACGGUUUUGCUGUCACUUAUAGAUGGAUCCGCGCCGCAUUAGCUAGUUGGUAAGGUAACGGCUUACCAAGGCGACGAUGCGUAGCCGACCUGAGAGGGUGAUCGGCCACACUGGAACUGAGACACGGUCCAGACUCCUACGGGAGGCAGCAGUAGGGAAUCUUCCGCAAUGGGCGAAAGCCUGACGGAGCAACGCCGCGUGAGUGAUGAAGGUCUUCGGAUCGUAAAACUCUGUUAUUAGGGAAGAACAAGUGUGUAAGUAACUAUGCACGUCUUGACGGUACCUAAUCAGAAAGCCACGGCUAACUACGUG
rnacentral:rRNA from 1 species